AAUUCUUUCUUCUGAAGAAGCAAGAAUUGAGGUUUCUGCAGAUCCAUACAGAUUCACUGCUGCUAACAGGUGAAAAUAAGUUCUACUCCCAUUCUGGCUAUGGCAGCGUAACACAGACAAAAGGCAUGACUCAUGAAUGGUUUAUGUGACCUAAUUUAGGCCAUAGAGGUCCAGACGUGGGGGACCUCUCCAUUGUUGGAAAGCUAUGAUUUAUCUUCUCCUGCAUGGGAAGCUUUGAGAAGAAAUGUUCCAUUUGUUGAAGUAUUACGAAAGAGAGCUCUGAUCAAGAGGAAGAGACUUCAAACUAUGAAAUUUGAAACAGAAAUAUCAAAAAUUUUCACUGACUGAACUGUAUCUCUGGAGAGAUUUCAGGAGUCCUUUGAAGGAACCUGCCAGAAAGAGGAAAAUACUUGACCAGUAUAACCUCAAAAGU
rnacentral:lncRNA from 10 species